rnacentral:rRNA from 1 species
UACAGAGGGGGCAAGCGUUGUUCGGAAUUACUGGGCGUAAAGGGCGCGUAGGUGGCCUUCUAAGUUGAACGUGAAAUCCCUGGGCUCAACCCAGGAACUGCGUCCAAGACUGGGAGGCUUGAAUCCGGGAGAGGGAUGCGGAAUUCCAGGUGUAGCGGUGAAAUGCGUAGAGAUGUGGAGGAACACCAGUGGCGAAGGCGACUCUUUGGCCUGGUAACUGACGCUGAGGAGCGAAAGCGUGGGGAGCGAACAGG